rnacentral:lncRNA from 1 species
CACAACUGAAAAGUGACUAAACCACAACAAAGAAAGCAGGGGCUUGUGGGGAUUUGUUGGUGACCUAGAAGAGAGCUGGAAUCCUGGAUCUGUGCAAGGUGAUGUGAAAGAGCAUCUGUCAGAGCACAAGAAGAUGGAGAAAGGGACAAGAAUUGCAGUCCUAGACCUGAUUCUAGACAAUGAAGAGGACCUGGUCGGUGAAGUACAACAGACAAAAACCUUGCAAGGCAGUGAUUAUAUCAUCAAAGUCUUCAUAAUAGAAAACAAACCAAAUUAGAAGAGAUUCAAUGCAAAUGCAAAUGACUAUGUCCCACUUAAAAAAGCAUUUUCUUUGACUUGACACUGAGAGGAUACAACAGCUCCUCUGAGGACAGUAUCAUCACAGACCAUUAGGUGGUACUCCAAGUUAAGCCUCUCUGGUUCACAUCAGCCAAGUAUGUAUGAGAAAUGUCUUGUUUUGUUUUUUUCCUUCUUAAUUUAAU